rnacentral:ribozyme from 12 species
UUUGUUUUUUAUUUAUAUUUUUUUUGUGGAAAAUGAAAAAACAAAAAACAAAAAAAAACGAUUCGCUGGUCUUUGAUUUUA